ensembl:lncRNA
CUGACGGCCAGUCACCAGCAACUCAGGGUCCAACACUGAGGGCAACACCACGGUCUGCUGUAAUAAUCUGGAUAAUGGGACAGAAUGCACUCACAGUAAAUUUGUAGGUUAUACCAAAUUGGUCAGGGAGAGCAGUCAAUCAACUGGAGUUAGAGCAGUGGUGUUUCUGGGAGGGUGAAGGUGCUCUCCAUUUGACUCUUCUGAAAGGGUACCUGAAUAUCAGGUUCAGUUGAAGACUUCUCAGUAUAUGGAAGGUAUUAAUACACUGGAGCAAGUCCAGCUGAGGACUACCAAAGCCAAUGGGAAUUGGAGCACAGUGGGGAGAGGUUAAGGGAACUGGAUUUGUUCAGCCUGGGGAAGACAGGACUGUCAUUUCUAUCUGAAAAUACCAACUGGCCUGAUGGGGAGAAGACAGAGCCAGGCUCUGCUCAGCCAGCAGUAGGUGAAGAGGCAAUAGGCACAAACUGGAAGAUCGAAAUUUCAACUCAAUUAAAGGAACAUGCUUUUUGCCAUGAAAAUAGUCAAAUACUGGAACAAGGACCCAAAACGAUUUCCACCCUUGGAGGUAAUCAAUACUCAACUAGAGAAGGUCUGGACCUGCUUUGGCCAGGAGAUUGGAGUAGACAAGGGACUAUUUGUGGUCUUCUCUAGCCUACACAAUUUUGUGGUUCUAUGAUUUCACGUAGCAGUGUCUGUGGAGUUACUGCAGUAGUGGAGAAGUGCAUGUGGACAACAAGGACCAACGUGUUCAACUGGGACGCCAGAUGGACGUGAGUCAAAAAGGUCACCGCGUGGUACAAAUGGCAGUCACAGCUGGGGAUAUGAAGAAUAAUGGCCUGCAGAGCACAUGGAUUAACCUUUACAUUUAUUAGGAGAUGUGAUCCAGCAAGAAUGACUCCAGCAAGAAUCACGUGUCCUUGGAGAAAUGCAGACACAAUGAGGGUGAGGAUGAAAGCAGCCCUUGCAUUUGUAGGAUGCUAAUAAAAAGAAUCCGGCCUGAUCUCUGUUUCUGUGCUGAACAGAACUGGAAAUAGUGGGUGUGAACUGCAGCAAAGGGAUAAAAUCAUAGAAUCAUUAAGGCUGGAAAAGACCUCUAUGAUCGUCAAGUCCAACAGUCAACCCACCCAAACCAUACCCACUCAUGGAAUCAUUAAGAUUGAAAAGAUCUCCAAGAUCACCCAGUCCAGCCAUCAACCCAUCAUCUCCAUUAAUGAUGAAUCAAUGAGAAAAGCUUUUAAAUAGCAGACAUGGUGAAACUUUGGGAUUUCUGAGAAAGUUGUGGAGUUCCCUUUCUUGUAGGGAUUUAAGAACAAGUUAGACAUGCACUUGUCAUGAAUGAUUCAGAAAGAGUUGCUUCUGCUUUGGAAGACAAAUGUAGAUACGUUGUCCACUGUAAAUCUCUGCGGAUCAAUAGUUGGGUGAACUAUUCUGCUUUCAUAUGGGCAUAUCCUUCUUGGAGAUAGCAUGUAUUCUGGUAACCCUUGCAUUUCUCUAUUUCUCCCCUUUCAUUCCUAAUGCAAUAGAUCAAGUAAAAAGAUAUAGUGAUAGAACUGAACAUUUCUAAAGAGAUCUCCAAAGUUAUACCAAUGGAUCUAUGUGUCUGGUUACCUGGUUCCAUGCUGAUGUUUAACCUCCCAGUAAAAAUCCCUUCCUUAAGCUUUAGGAAGCUUUAGAUGGCCUUUAAAGGUCUCUUCCAACUCCAACCAUUCUAUGAUCCUGUGAUAUUGCCUGACUGGGUGCAGCAAGCAGCCUUUGCCCACAUCACCCCAUAAAGCUUCACAGUAAAUGAGAAUGUGUUGCUAUGCGGCUCUAUGUGGCUGCUUGCCAGUUUUGAUCUUCGAGUGAUCAGCCAGCCUCAGGAAACAGGAUCUGUAAUUACGUCUACUUUACACUGAGAAAACAUUAUUCGUGCCAUAAAUUCUUUGAGGUAGGGCUUGUAUCUCUUGGAUUUUAUUUAAUCCCAAGAAUGCUGAUGCUUGACAAACAGAGACUGGCUUCACUGUGUUUAAGCAUUAAUCUGCCCAGUUUCUCUUCAAAUCCAGCUAUCUUCUGACAUCCUGUACUCACAAAUAUCACAUGCCAGAUGCUUCCUUAAUGACACUCUGGUCCCUAACUGAUUUAACUGCUAUUUAUGUAAGAUCAUCCCCUCUUAUCUUCUUAUCUAUCUUUUUUUCCCCAUGUUUAUUCCUCUCCAAACCACCGAACAUCAUACAGUAAGUUUAAUGAGAUCCUGAUAUUCUCUUCCUUUGCAGCACAUAACAGAAGGGAAAACUGGUACCCAGUAGUUACUUUCUCUCUCUCAAGGCAGUCAUUAGCUCAUUCUGUUUACCAAGUCACCAAUUGUGGAGGGGAUGCAUACAAUGAAGCAUCAUCUGUUAAAGUCAUAAUGUGUUCAUCUUACAUUUUUGUAAAACCAACUUUCUUCCAUUGUUGUUCCAUUUUCUCUACGUUUGCUGCAAAAUGCUACCAUGUUGAGUCAAAUGUGUGAAAAAAUAAAUGAAUGGCUUUCUGCAGAAUUUGGGUUGGUCUGCCAAUCAUUGCACCUUUACAGUGACUUGGGGGUAUGUUAGCACUCUUCCAAAUAAGCAUUCUUGGAUGAAGUAAAACCAACAUGCUGCCAUAGGCAUAGACUCUGAAAAAAGCAAGGAAUGCAGCCUGGAAGGUGUGGCAGACACAGAGUUUCAACAAAAUGUUAUUUGAAAGUCAAGGUCAUAAUUAUAAACUUCUAUUUGAAAAGUCACAUUCAGUAUUCUCACUCAGUUUUUGCAGUUACAGACAGAUUGACAGACAAGUCCACGAAGUCCAACUCAAAGCUGAAUCCUUGACAAGGCAAGACAAUACAUCAAUUGUUUCUUGAGCAAAACCAGCUCUAUCGUGACUAAACAACAGAAAAAGACAUGGGAUGGACGCUGUUCAGGGCUGGAGGGCUAAUUAAAACUAGAGGAAACUGGGUGUGCAGCUACCUGAGUGAAUAAAUCAGCCAUGUAUUCUGCUGGAGAUAAUCAUUUACAGGACAUGUUUGGAUCUGCAUACCAACUUUCAUGCAGGUGCAAUGAAUGAGGAAAUCAAUUAUCUGUCAUUGUUUAACACUGACAUCACCUCCUCUACAAAGCUCCUUGUCUAUCUAAAUGUGCAGAAAUCUCAUCCCUCUAGAUCUUCAGUUGGGUCAGCUUUUUCUGGAAUUACAAAUGGGACCCCAAGUUGAUUGUUGUGUAUAAAUGGACAAUGAGAGACAGUAAGAACGUGGAAUACACACCAAAAAGAUGCCAUUUCAUUAAAACUACCAAGCUCCACUGAGUCUCUUUCCUUGAUAUUUAUUCCCUUCUUCUGCAGUGUUGAAUGCUCUAGUUAAUCUGAAGGCACAGGAAGGACAAGAAAAUCAUCAUGGAUUAACCAAAAGGAGGACACGUUUGACCAACUUGAUGAGCUUCUGUAAUGAAACGUCCAGCUUGUUGGAUGAAGAGGAAGCAGUGCUCAUUGUCUUCCUGGAUGUUGAUAAGGUGUAUUCUGUUCUCCAGAAGAUCCUCCUAUAGAAACUGUUGGUGUAUGGACUGGAAGAGGAUGAAAACUGCUUGAACGGCCUGGCCCAGGUGUCAGUGGAUAAGUCUAGAUGGAGUACGAAUGAGCUGACCUUGAGAUCAACCCAUGCAUUAUUACCUGGGUUGGGGUUGGACAUCCAUCACUAGACAUCUACAGAAAUCAGUUGCCUGGGCUAAAGGAACUGAAUCACAGUCAAACAUGGGUGCCUACACACUAAGAGACACCAAGCUGCAGCCUGGACAUUAUUUAAAGCAGAUGAAUACCAAAAGGAGUGCCAGGAAUCAGUCCAUCUCCUCAUCCACAGGACCGGGGAAGAUGAAAAGAUGCUGAGCUGAUCAAAUUAUAUCUCAGUAUAGAUGGAUCUAUCUCCAUAAAUAUAGAAAACAAGUGAUCAAACAAAAAAUUGUUUUGAUCAUCAAAUCUGAUUCCAGUGUCUGGAAAUAAAAUAUCCCAGCAAGAAGACAAGCGUGCUGAAUGUGUUUCUCAGAUUUUUGAAGAAAAAAAUCACAUAC